GCGGGUGUAGUGUUAGCGGUUUAACACUCCUCCCUUCCAAGGAGGCACCGGCGGUUCGAAUCCGUCCGCCCGCA
rnacentral:tRNA from 1 species